rnacentral:rRNA from 1 species
UACGGGGGGGGCAAGCGUUGUUCGGAAUUACUGGGCGUAAAGGGCUCGUAGGCGGCCAACUAAGUCAGACGUGAAAUCCCUCGGCUUAACCGGGGAACUGCAUCUGAUACUGGAUGGCUUGAGUUCGGGAGAGGGAUGCGGAAUUCCUGGUGUAGCGGUGAAAUGCGCAGAUAUCAGGAGGAACACCGAUGGCGAAGGCAGCUCACUGGGACGGUACUGACGCUGAGGCGCGAAAGCGUGGGGAGCAAACAGG